UAGGAGAACAAGCUCAGCUGCU
rnacentral:piRNA from 1 species